rnacentral:rRNA from 1 species
AUUACGGAGAGUUUGAUCCUGGCUCAGGAUGAACGCUGGCGGCGUGCCUAAUACAUGCAAGUCGAACGAGGUCCUUUUUCUUCGGAAAAGGGUGUCCUAGUGGCGAACGGGUGAGUAACGCGUUGGUGACCUGCCCCAAAGAGGGGGAUACCAGUUCGAAAGGACUGUUAAUACCCCAUAAUGUUGUCGUGAUUGAAUACGUGACAAAGAAAGGAGAAAUCCGCUUUGGGAGGGGCCUGCGUCCCAUCAGCUAGUUGGUAAGGUAAUAGCUUACCAAGGCAAUGACGGGUAGGGGACCUGAGAGGGUGGCCCCCCACAAUGGAACUGAAACACGGUCCAUACAUCUACGGAUGGCAGCAGUAGGGAAUAUUGCUUAAUGGGCGAAAGCCUGAAGCAGCAACGCCGCGUGCACGAUGAAUGUCUUCGGAUUGUAAAGUGCUUUUUGAGGGGAUGAGGAAGGACGGUACCCUCAGAAUAAGCCUCGGCUAACUACGUGCCAGCAGCCGCGGUAAAACGUAGGAGGCGAGCGUUAUUCGGAUUUACUGGGCGUAAAGCGUGUGUAGGUGGUGCGGUAAGUUGGAUGUGAAAGCUCCUGGCUUAACUGGGAGAGGUCGUUCAAUACUGCCGUGCUAGAGAAUGAGAGAGGGAAGUGGAAUUCCGGGUGUAGUGGUGAAAUGCGUAGAUAUCCGGAGGAACACCAGUGGCGAAAGCGACUUCCUGGCUCAUUUCUGACACUCAGACACGAAAGCUAGGGUAGCAAACGGGAUUAGAGACCCCGGUAGUCCUAGCCGUAAACGAUGUAGACUUGGCGUUGGUGGUGUUAAAUCCAUCAGUGCCGAAGCUAACGCGAUAAGUCUACCGCCUGGGGAUUACGGCCGCAAGGCUAAAACUCAAAGGAAUUGACGGGGGCCCGCACAAGCAGCGGAGCGUGUGGUUUAAUUCGAUGUUACACGAAGAACCUUACCAAGGCUUGACAUGUUGGUUGUAGGGAUCCGAAAGGUGACCGACCCUUCGGGGAGCCAUCACAGGUGCUGCAUGGCUGUCGUCAGCUCGUGUCGUGAGAUGUUCGGUUAAGUCCGCUAACGAGCGCAACCCUCGCUGUGUGUUACAAGUGUCACACGGGACUGCCGGUUUUAAGCCGGAGGAAGGUGGGGAUGACGUCAAGUCAGCAUGGCCUUUAUGUCUUGGGCUACACACACGCUACAAUGGCCAAAACAAUAGGUAGCCAAACCGCAAGGUGGAGCCAAUCCCAAAAUUUGGUCUCAGUUCAGAUUGUAGGCUGCAACCCGCCUGCAUGAAGAUGGAGUUGCUAGUAACCGCAGGUCAGCUAUACUGCGGUGAAUACGUUCCCGGGCCUUGUACACACCGCCCGUCACGUCAUGGAAGCUGGCAACACCUGAAGCCGGUAUCCCAACCCGCAAGGGAGGGAGCCGUCGAAGGUGGGGUCGGUAACUGGGACGAAGUCGUAACAAGGUAGGUGUACCGGAAGGUGCGCCUGGAUCACCUCCUUU